CUCUGUUUUAUACAUAAAACCGCAUGGUUUUUUAUUUCUAUUUUGCUUAAUUUUGACUAUUACUCUAGCCGGCUGUUUUGAUGGCUGCUGUGACUACUACUACCAACACUGCCAACAACACCCCCUCUUGCUCUCUCUCACUCUUUUAAACACCUUCCAAUAUGUUUUUUUACAUUUGACUGUUAAUAUUUUGUUUUCAAAUGUAGUUCAUUGUAGUCGUAGUUUUUUUUUUUUUAUUUAUUUCUUGCAAAGAGGGGUUUGCUACUAGCUGUAAGGGAAAGGGGGGACUCCUUGUUUUCUGUCGCUUUAUUAUUUCAAUUCAUUCUAAUGUCUACUAAGAACGAAGACGGAGCUUUUUUUCCACAAGCAGUGUGGUCUUCACUAAAUAAAACUUAAAAAAGUUAAAUAAAUAAAAAAAAAACACGACAAACCGGGCCGUAUGUCGUCGUUUUUAUUUAUUUUUUUCACAAAACACGCGUUUUCUGUCUUAAAAUUAAAUUUUUCUUUCAACGAAAUUUUUAAAAUUGUGAAAUCAAAUGUUUAAUUAAAAAGAAAAAAAGUGAAUUUUAUUUAAAAUUUAUAUUUAAAAAAAGUGUUAUUUCUUAUGCAAAGUAAUGUGUAAAAAAAGAGAGUUUUUGUGUUAAAAUUUAAAUUAAUUUUAUACUAUCACUGCCGCCACCCCAAACGCCGGUAUUAAGAGCAACUGCACACACACGGAAAAAUAAAAGCCGCAAGAAAUUUAAAAAAGAAAUUAUAUUAAAGUAAAUCGAAAAUUUUUUACUUCUUCAACUGCUGCCGUGCCGCCUGUUCUUAAACAAUUCUUCAACAUAUUUCAAGGAAAUUUUUGUUUGUUAUUUAUUAUUGGAAAACUUUAAAAAAGAAAACUAAACUGCAACAAAAUGUUAGGAAGUAUAAUUUGUAAACUUUGAUAAAAAGUUUGAAACUGACAACCUUACCAAAGAGAACUGUCACAAUUUCCUCUACAUAUAAUACAAAUUAAAGUCUGCUCUAUAGAAUACACUAUAAUAUAUUCUAUAUUAUAUUCAUUUUAAAAUCCUCGUUUCUCUUAUUUCAAUUCUAUCCAAAAAACAAUACACACACACGCACUCACCCUGUCAGUAUGAAAUGUCAAAUAAAUGGAAAUUUUUCAUUUGGCAAAAGAUACUCUGGUUUGUUUUCAAGAUCUUAUGAAAUUUGCUGCAAUUUUUAAGAAAUAUUUCAUCAUUAAGACAAAGAAUUCAUAAUAAUAUCUAUUAUUUAACUGCUAAAGUUCAAUGUUUAAAAUAUUUAAAUAUAAAUAAAUGAUUCUUCUAACGGAAUUUUAUGACUAAUUUAUAAAAGAGGGGAAUUUUCCAAUCUGGACAUGUUAAUUUUGAAUAUUAUGAAAAUUCUAAGGAAAUAUUUUUUCUAUAACUUAUGAAAGGAAAUUAUAAUUAAGUGUUGACUCAUAGGAAAAAAAAUUCUAAAAAUGAGACUAGAAGAUGUGCGGAUUUAGAC